rnacentral:rRNA from 1 species
AACACGGACCAAGGAGUGCAACAUGUGCGCGAGCCCUUUGGCGAGUAAACCAGAAGGCGCAAUGAAAGUGAAGGCACGGUCGCCGUGCUGAGGUGAGAGCUGUCCCUAGGCAGCACAUCAUCGACCGAUCCCAUUCACGCCCCCGUGGUGUGGCAGGAUUCGAGUAAGAGUGUACCUGUUGCGACCCGAAAGAUGGUGAACUAUGCCUGAAUAGGGUGAAGCCAGAGGAAACUCUGGUGGAGGCCCGUAGCGAUUCUGACGUGCAAAUCGAUCGUCAAAUUUGGGUAUAGGGGCGAAAGACUAAUCGAACCAUCUAGUAGCUGGUUCCCUCCGAAGUUUCCCUCAGGAUAGCUGUAGCCCGAAGCAGUUUUAUCAGGUAAAGCGAAUGAUUAGAGGUAUCGGGGAAGAAACUUCCUCGACCUAUUCUCAAACUUUAAAUAGGUAAGAAGUCCGACUUGCUCAAUUUGAAGCCGGACAUAGAAUGCUGGGUUACUAGUGGGCCAUUUUUGGUAAGCAGAACUGGCGAUGCGGGAUGAACCGAACGCCGAGUUAAGGUGCCAAAGUCGACGCUCAUCAGAUCCCACAAAAGGUGUUGGUUGAUAUAGACAGCAGGACGGUGGCCAUGGAAGUCGGAAUCCGCUAAGGAGUGUGUAACAACUCA